ACACCUUCACAGGGAUUUUGUUCUGGGAAUGUGUUCAGGGUCCUUUCAAGUCCCACUUGAAGAAAAUGCUUAAUAUUUAGCUGUCUGAGACCCAGAUGCUCAACUGACUUAGCAGUUGCUGAGAGCUGCCCAAUCCCCAGUUCUGACUUACUGCAGAUGUAAAGAUGCCCAGAUGGAGCCAGGCUGGAGACAAAUCAUCACUGAAUCCUGGGCCACUGACACAGGACAAAAUAAGGAUGAAAGCCUGAGAAGGGAGCAUCUGCUAUUAUUGUAGAGAAGUGAGGACUCCACCCAGGUCUGCAGGGAAGUUGCAGAGGAGACCUGCAGGGAAUGCAAAUGCAAAUGCGGAGAUGGGAAAAAAUAUGUAAGAAACUUGGAUCAACAGAAGGAAGAGAUCAGCAUCGGGAAAGCAAUAUGAGAAGACACACACCCUUAAUGAUGAAACUAUCUCAAAAAGAGGCUAAGUCAAUACAGAAAGAAACUACAAACUAUUUGGACUUCUAAAGAAAAACAAAAAACUAAUUUACCACUCAUAAUUCCAUAAAAAAUAGGAUCUCUUAUUACUGCCAUAAUUUGUCAGCCAACAGGUACGUACUCUCAUUAAAUCUUGGGCUGUUGGAGAGAUUACUUACAGAUGAACUUUCCUAAUGGGAAAGGUGAAUAAACUCGAAAAUUACUUUUCCAAGGUGAAAGUAUUUAAUAGCCAGUGACCAGAGUCUGGAUAAAAGAGAACAAACUGAGUAUAAGUACUCAGGGAAGCAAAGUACUGCUUUCAUAAGGUAUGUACUCCUGCGGCCAGCAGCAUCUGCAGGAUGAGGGAAGGGAUAAGAGAUCUUCCUUAAGACAGUGAAAGUUUCCCAAAGCCUCUGAUAUAUAGGUCACUUCUACAGACAUUAUUAUAGUGUAAGAGGCCCUUCUAAGAACACAUUUUCAUUAUGAAAAAACACUUGAAGAGACUCCUUAGAAGAGAUAAAGUAUGAGGGGGAGAUACCGACCACACAAUUUGAAUUUAAUAGAGUCAUCAUAGUUUCAAUGAGAUGUAGGACUAUAAUAGAUAUGAGGUCACUCAGAAGGAAAUCCUGUAGACUCACAUCCUCAAAGUUUACGGGGUACAUUCCCACCCUUUAGGGGACACAUUCCCACCCUCACCAACUGAACAUUCACUCUGAGAACUGUAAGAGGACAGAAUGGGGUGUAGAGAACACCUUUCACCUGUAAUGUUAAAGUCCCGAGAUUCUCUCUUGGUCUUAUUUUCCUCUCUUGUAGGAUUCUCUAAUUUGUAAUGCUGUUACACCCCUCACUGCCCAGUGUCUCUGAUUGAGGAGGAAAGAUGGUUUCAAAAUCUCCAGUUUUGGUGAAGAAUGGUAAAGUUUGCAUCAGCUGAAGGAGAGGGGUGGCAAUGACAUAUCUGGAUUUUCUCUGACAGUGUAGUACUAUGGAGUUCUAGAAAUAAUGAAGCAUCUGUAAUAAGUACCUCUGCAGGCUUAUCUAUGAGCUUGGCUGACCAAAGGCUUUUAAUGCUGCGGAGGGUUUUGAAUAUUUACUGAAAAAAAAAUGGAAUCUGAAAAUUUCCAAUGCAUUUGUAAUAAAAAUAGAAACUAUCUUUAAAAA